AGUGAACGCUGGCGGUAGGCCUAACACAUGCAAGUCGAACGGCAGCACAGUAAGAGCUUGCUCUUACGGGUGGCGAGUGGCGGACGGGUGAGGAAUACAUCGGAAUCUACUUUUUCGUGGGGGAUAACGUAGGGAAACUUACGCUAAUACCGCAUACGACCUACGGGUGAAAGCAUGGGAUCUUCGGACCUCGCGCGAUUGAAUGAGCCGAUGUCGGAUUAGCUAGUUGGCGGGGUAAAGGCCCACCAAGGCGACGAUCCGUAGCUGGUCUGAGAGGAUGAUCAGCCACACUGGAACUGAGACACGGUCCAGACUCCUACGGGAGGCAGCAGUGGGGAAUAUUGGACAAUGGGCGAAAGCCUGAUCCAGCCAUACCGCGUGGGUGAAGAAGGCCUUCGGGUUGUAAAGCCCUUUUGUUGGGAAAGAAAAGCAGUAGGUUAAUACCCCGCUGUUCUGACGGUACCCAAAGAAUAAGCACCGGCUAACUUCGUG
rnacentral:rRNA from 1 species